rnacentral:rRNA from 1 species
UACGUAGGGGGCAAGCGUUGUCCGGAUUUAUUGGGCGUAAAGAGCGUGUAGGCGGCCAGAAAAGUCCGCUGUGAAAACUCGAGGCUCAACUUCGAGCUGUCGGUGGAAACUUUCUGGCUAGAGUCCGGAAGAGGAGAAUGGAAUUCCUGGUGUAGCGGUGAAAUGCGCAGAUAUCAGGAGGAACACCGGUGGCGAAGGCGGUUCUCUGGGCCUUACCUGACGCUGAGGAGCGAAAGCAUGGGGAGCAAACAGG